GACAUUAGCAACAGCUACAAGAAGACCUAGCUCCUCGUAUACAUGGGGGACAACCAAGGAGCCUCGGCUAAGAUCACUCACAUUCACACUCUCUCCCUCUAUCUCUCUUAAGUCUUAUCCAUUAUUCUAUCUACUUCUUCAAGAAACUGGCAUGAUCAUCCCCAGGGUAUCUCAUCCUUCCAAAUCCCACCUCAGGAUAGUAUUCUUUCUCAAUUCAACUAACUUCUCUUCUGUUCAUACAGAAAACAGAUUGCGUUGAAUAACUCCUGACCUGGUGCCUCUCAUAAUGUAACACUAAUUCAUCUCUAAUACAUAGUAAAAUCAAGUUCUCCUGAGUUAAUUUCACUCCGACCUAGGACUAUGUAGUAAUUUGAGUACUAGCAUGUGAUCAACUUGCUCAAGUAAGCAAAAGUAGAUCAUUAUUUUAUGCUAUGCCUAGGACUUAUUAGGAUCACCUUAUCAGGUUUCCUAAUCUUGAUUAAAGUUUUUGGUUCUACGUUAAAAAUGUGUAACACAAGGAAGAAAGAUGCACGCUUUGACCCGAAGGCUGGAUUGAAUAUGUCUAGUGGCAAAUUUCCAGCUCCUACUCUUGUUGAC
rnacentral:lncRNA from 1 species